rnacentral:rRNA from 1 species
CCCUUAGAUGUUCUGGGCCGCACGCGUGCUACACUGAGUGGAUCAGCGGGUCAGGUUGCGCGAAAGCGUUUCCUAAUCUUUAAAUCCGCUCGUGAUGGGGAUUGACGGUUGCAAUUUUCUGUCAUGAACGAGGAAUACCUUGUAAGCGCGGGUCAUCAUCCCGCGCUGAAUACGUCCCUGCCCUUUGUACACACCGCCAGUCGCUCCUACCGAUUGAGUGGUCCGGUGAGGCUUUGGGAUCUGAGCGGAAAGAGCGUUUCGCUGUUUCUGCUCGGAAAACUCAGUCGAACCUUAUCAUUUAGAGGAAGGAGAAGUCGUAACA